rnacentral:lncRNA from 1 species
CGGAAUCCUUCGGAAUCGGAUUUUCCAAUCCAAUUUACACCCCUAAUCACGUAGCACCCUCUAUUGCUUUGCAUCUAUUGCAAUGAACUAAAUCACACCAUGGCAAGUGAGAUUUUAUUGUUUUAGUUCAAUUUCAUGCAAUAAAAUUGCAUUGAUCCUAACCAUUGCAGAUAUAGACAUAGAUAUAAUUAUUGCUUUAUGUUUUUCUUCU